UACGUAGGGCGCAAGCGUUGUCCGGAAUUAUUGGGCGUAAAGAGCUCGUAGGCGGCCUGUUACGUCUGCUGUGAAAUCCUGGGGCUUAACCCCGGGCGUGCAGUGGAUACGGGCAGGCUGGAGGCAGGCAGGGGAGAACGGAAUUCCCGGUGUAGCGGUGAAAUGCGCAGAUAUCGGGAGGAACACCGAUGGCGAAGGCAGAUCUCUGGGCCGUAACUGACGCUGAGGAGCGAAAGCGUGGGGAGCGAACAGG
rnacentral:rRNA from 1 species